ensembl:lncRNA
GGGGGAUCUAUGGGGGAUCAGUGGGGGAUCAGUGGGGCAGCAGUGGGGCAGCAAUGGGCGAUCAAUGGGGGAUAAAUGGGGGAUCAAUGCGGGAUCAGUGGGGGAUCAGUGGGGCAGCAGUGGGGCAGCAAUGGGGGCAGCAAUGGGGUAUCAAUGGGGCAGCAGUGGGGGAUCCAUGGGGGCAGCAAUGGGGGAACAGUGGGGGAUCAGUGGGGCAGCAGUGGGGGAUCAGUGGGGGAUUAAUGGGGCAGCAAUAGGGGAUCGGUGGGGCAGCAAUGGGGGAUCAAUGGGGGAUCCAUGGGGCAGCAAUGGGGAAUCAAUGGGGCAGCAGUGGGGCAGCAGUGGGGGAUCAGUGGGGCGGCAGUGGGGGAUCAAUGGGGUAUUAAUGGGAUAUCCAUGGGGUAUCAGUGGGGCAGCAAUGGGGUAACUAUGGGGGAUCAAUGGGGCAGCAAUGGGGUAUCAAUGGGGCAGCAGUGGGGGAUCAGUGGGGCAGCAAUGGGGUAUGCAUGGGGUAUCAAUAGGGAAUCAAUGGAGGAUCCAUGGGGCAGCAAUGGGGAUCAAUGGGGCAGCAGUGGGGCAGCAGUGGGGGAUCAAUGGAGGAUCAAUGGGGGAUCAGUGGGGCAGCUGUGGGGCAGCAAUGGGGGAUUAAUGGGGCAGUAAUGGGGGAUCAGUGGGGCAGCAAUGGGGGCAGCAAUGGGAUAUCAGUAGGGGAUCAAUGGGGUACCAAUGGGGGAUCCAUGGGGCAGCAGUGGGAGAUCAGUGGGGCAGCAGUGGGGCAGCAAUGGGGGCAGCAAUGGAGGAUCAAUGGGGGAUCCAUGGGGGUCUAUGGGGUAUCAGUGGGGCAGCAAUGGGGCAGCAAUGGGCGAUCAAUGGGGUUUCAAUGGGGCAGCAAUGGGGCAGCAGUGGGGGAUCAGUGGGGGAUCAAUGGGGCAGCAGUGGGGCGGCAGUGGGGCAGCAAUGGGGUAUCAGUGGGGCAGCAGUGGGGGAUCAAUGGGGCAGCAAAGGGGUAUUAUAGGGGCAGCAAUGGGGGAUGAGUGGGGUUUCAAUGGGGUAUGCAUGGGGUAUCAAUAGGGAAUCAAUGGGGGAUCCGUGGGGCAGCAAUGGGGAUCAAUGGGGCAGCAGUGGGGCAGCAGUGGGGGAUCAAUGGGGCAGCAAUGGGGGAUCCAUGGGGUAUUAAUGGGGCAGCAGUGGGGCAGCAAUGGGUGACCAAUGGGGCAGCAAUGGAGGAUCAGUGGGGCAGCAAUGGGGCAGCAAUGGGGCAGCAAUGAGGGAUCCAUGGGGGAUCAGUGGGGCAGCAGUGGGGUGUCCAUGGGGUAUCAAUAGGGAAUCAAUGGGGGAUCCAUGGGGCAGCAAUGGGGAUCAAUGGGGCAGCAGUGGGGCAGCUGUGGGGGAUCAGUGGGGGAUCAGUGGGGGAUCAAUGGGGUUUCAAUGGGGCAGCAAUGGGGGAUCAGUGGGGCAGCUAUGGGGUAUCCAUGGGGUAUCAACAGGGAAUCAAUGGGGGAUCCGUGGGGCAGCUAUGGGGAUCAAUGGGGCAGCAGUGGGGCAGCUGUGGGGGAUCAGUGGGGGAUCAAUGGGGUUUCAAUGGGGCAGCAAUGGGGCACUGUGGGGCAGCAGUGGGGGAUCCAUGGGGGAUCAAUGGGGUCUCAAUGGGGCAGCAGUGGGGCAGCAAUGGGGGAUCAGUGGGGCAGCAAUGGGGCAGCAAUGGGGCAGCAAUGGGGCAGCAGUGGGGGAUCAGUGGGGGAUCAAUGGGGCAGCAGUGGGGCGGCAGUGGGGCAGCAAUGGGGUAUCAGUGGGGCAGCAGUGGGGGAUCAAUGGGGCAGCAAAGGGGUAUUAUAGGGGCAGCAAUGGGGGAUGAGUGGGGUUUCAAUGGGGUAUGCAUGGGGUAUCAAUAGGGAAUCAAUGGGGGAUCCAUGGGGCAGCAGUGGGGAUCAAUGGGGCAGCAGUGGGGCAGCAGUGGGGGAUCAGUGGGGCAGCAAUGGGGUAUCAAUGGGGUUUCAAUGGGGCAGCACUGGGGCAGCAAUGGGUUAUCAAUGGGGCAGCAGUGGGGGAUCAGUGGGGGAUCAAUGGGGCAGCAGUGGGGGAUCAGUGGGGUAUUAAUGGGGGAUACGGGGGGGCAGUAAUGGGGGAUCUAUGGGGCAGCAGUGGGGCAGCAAUGGGGGAUCCAUGGGGCAGCAGUGGGGGAUCAAUGGGGUCUCAAUGGGGCAGCAGUGGGGCAGCAAUGGGGGAUCAAUGGGGCAAUAAUGCGGUAUUAAUGGGGGAUCAAUGGGGCACCAAUGGGGGAUCAGUGGGGCAGAAAUGGGGCAGCAAUGGGGGAUCAAUGGGGUAUCAAUGGGGCAGCAGUGGGGCAGCAAUGGGGCAGCAAUGGGGGAUCAAUGGGGGAUCCAUGGGGGUCUAUGGGGUAUCAGUGGGGCAGCAAUGGGGCAGCAAUGGGGGAUCAAUGGGGUUUCAAUGGGGCAGCAGUGGGGGAUUAAUGGGGGAUCCAUGGGGAUCUAUGGGGUAUCAGUGGGGCAGCAAUGGGGGAUCAGUGGGGGAUCAGUGGGGCAGCAGUGGGGCAGCAAUGGGGCAGCAAUGGGGGAUCAAUGGGGGAUCAGUGGGGGAUCAGUGGGGCAGCAAUGGGACGUUGCGGCCAUCAAUGGGGACAUUGGUGACCCCAAAGGGCCACCAAUGACCCCAAAAGUGCCACUGAAGACCCCAAAAAGGACAUCGGUGACCCCAAAAGUGCCAUCAGAGACCCCAAAAGUGCCAUUGCUGACCCCAAAGGUGCCAUUGCUGACCCCAAAGUGCCACUGAAGACCCCAAGAAGGACAUUGGUGACCCUAAAAGGGACAUGGGUGACCCCAAAGUGGCCAUUUAUGACCCCAAAAGGGACAUUGCUGACCCCAAAAGUGCCACUGAUGACCCCAAAAGUGCCAUUGCUGACCCCAAAAGGGACAUCAGUGACCCUAAAGAGGACAUUGGUGACCCCAAAGGUGCCAUUGUUGACCCCAAAGCGCCACUGAAGACCCCAAAGUGCCAUCAGUGACCCCAAAAGUGCCAUUGCCGACCCCAAGAAGGACAUUGGUGACCCUAAAAGGGACAUUGCUGACCCCAAAGUGGCCAUUUAUGACCCCAAAAGGGACAUUGCUGACCCCAAAGUGCCAUCGCUGACCCCAAAAGUGCCAUUUAUGACCCCACAAAGGACAUUGGUGACCCUAAAAGGGACAUUGGUGACCCUAAAAGGGACAUUGCUGACCCCAAAGUGCCACUGAAGACCCUAAAAGGGACAUCAGUGACCCCAAAGGUGCCAUUGCUGACCCCAAAGUGCCAUUGCUGACCCCAAGAAGGACAUUGGUGACCCUAAAAGGGACAUUGCUGACCCCAAAGCUCCAUCACUGACCCCAAAAAGGACAUUGAUGACCCCAAAAGUGCCAUCGGUGACCCCAAAAGGGACAUUGCUGACCCCAAAGUGCCAUCGGUGACCCCAAAAGUGCCAUUGCUGACCCCAAAAGUGCCAUUUAUGACCCCACAAAGGACAUUGGUGACCCUAAAAGGGACAUGGGUGACCCCAAAGUGGCCAUUUAUGACCCCAAAAGGGACAUUGCUGACCCCAAAAGUGCCACUGAUGACCCCAAAGGUGCCAUUGCUGACCCCAAAGUGCCAUUGCUGACCCCAAGAAGGACAUUGGUGACCCUAAAAGGGACAUUGCUGACCCCAAAGUGGCCAUUUAUGACCCCAAAAGGGACAUUGCUGACCCCAAAAGGGACAUCAGUGACCCUAAAGAGGUCAUUGGUGACCCCAAAGGUGCCAUUGCUGACCCCAAAGUGCCACUGAAGACCCCAAAGUGCCAUCAGUGACCCCAAAAGUGCCAUUGCUGACCCCAAGAAGGACAUUGGUGACCCUAAAAGGGACAUGGGUGACCCCAAAGUGCCAUCGGUGACCCCAAAGCGCCACUGAUGACCCCAAAGGUGCCAUUGCUGACCCCAAAGUGCCACUGAAGACCCCAAGAAGGACAUUGGUGACCCUAAAAGGGACAUCAGUGACCCCAAAGGUGCCAUUGCUGACCCCAAAGUGCCAUUGCUGACCCCAAGAAGGACAUUGGUGACCCUAAAAGGGACAUUGCUGACCCCAAAGUGCCAUUGCUGACCCCAAAGUGCCAUUGCUGACCCCAAAGUGCCAUUUAUGACCCCAAGAAGGACAUGGAUGACCCCACAAAGGACAUUGAUGACCCUAAAAGGGACAUCGGUGACCCUAAAGAGGACAUUGAUGGCCCCAGUAGUGCCAUCAGUGACCCCAAAAGUGCCAUUGCUGACCCCAAAGCGCCACUGAAGACCCCAAGAAGGACAUUGGUGACCCUAAAAGGGACAUGGGUGACCCCAAAGUGGCAAUGGGGCAGCAAUGGGGUACUCACUGUGCCCCGCGCCAUCACGCCGUUGUCACCCCAUAGGGUCAGCUGUCCCCCCGGACCCCCCGCCAACACCAUCGUCCCCUCUGGGUCCCACCCCAAAGCCACCACAGCCCCCGGGACGGCACUGCUGGGUGGCGUUGGGGACAUCGCCAUGGGGUCACCUGAGGGGGGGAGAGACCCCAAAUGGGCCCAAAUUGAAGCCAAACGGCCCCAAAAUGGACCCCAAAUGGACACAAAAUGGCCACAAAUGGACCCAAAAUGGACACAAAAUGGCCACAAAUGGACACAAAAUGGACCCAAAAUGGACUCAAAUGGACCCAAAUUGACCCAAAAUGGCCACAAAUGGACACAAAUGGACCCAAAAUGGACCCAAAAUGGACCCAAAUGGACCCAAAAUGGCCACAAAUGGACUCAAAAUGGACCCAAAUGGAUCCAAAAUGGCCACAAAUGGACCCAAAAUGGACACAAAUUGACCCAAAACGGAGCCAAAAUGGUCCCAAAUUGACCCAAAUUAACCCCAAAUGGCCACCAAUGGACCCAAAAUGGACACAAAUGGACCCAAAUGGACCCAAAAUGGCCACAAAUGGACACAAAAUGGACCCAAAAUGGACUCAAAUGGACCCAAAUUGACCAAAAUUAACCCGAAAUGGACCCAAAUUGACCCCAAAUGGACCCAAAUUGACCCAAAUUGACCCAAAAUGGACCCAAAAUGGCCACAAAUGGACCCAAAAUGGACCCAAAUGGACCCCAAAU